UACGAAGGGUGCAAGCGUUAAUCGGAAUUACUGGGCGUAAAGCGCACGCAGGCGGUCUGUCAAGUCGGAUGUGAAAUCCCCGGGCUCAACCUGGGAACUGCAUUCGAAACUGGCAGGCUAGAGUCUUGUAGAGGGGGGUAGAAUUCCAGGUGUAGCGGUGAAAUGCGUAGAGAUCUGGAGGAAUACCGGUGGCGAAGGCGGCCCCCUGGACAAAGACUGACGCUCAGGUGCGAAAGCGUGGGGAGCAAACAGG
rnacentral:rRNA from 1 species